UAUUUCUAAAAUAAAUUAUUUUCAAAUGAUAUUCGAAAUAUUUUUUAUCGCAUAUUUUGCCUCUGAAACUACUCAUCCCACAAUGCUACACAGCCGUGGUGUUUUUUUGUCCAACCACGUCGUUCUGCAACUCGCCGACUAUUAUUUUGAUUGGUGUGUCUGCCUUCGGACGGUUAAUGGUAGGAAGUAGGCUACCCACAGAUUCUACCAUCACAUUCAACUUAAUCCAGCAGUAGAUAUGUGAUGGAUUAGAAAAAUAUGUGCCUCUGUUGUCAACAUGUUCCCCGGCGUUUUCUAUGCGCUUCUGGCGGGUUUUCUCGGGGCUGUCGCAUCUUCUUCUGCAAAGCUGUCACUUGGAGCGGAUUACCUAAAAGGUGUUUGUGAGACGGGGCUACGAACAUGGGGAGAGCAGCGGAAAUUUAGACAACCAGAUGAAACUACCGCUUGUGACUGGCUACACAUUCCUCUGAGGCUCUUGUGUGGGGGACUUCUGUUCACAUGUAACGCUGUGAUGUGGACCUUCCUUGCCAAGGCUCUCAGGUACUCUUCCUCCUCCACCAGAACCACUGUGACCACCACUGCUUCCAACUUUGUAUCUUCCGCCUUUUUGGGGCAGCUUAUCUUUGGGGAGACCCAGAUUGUAUUGUGGUGGGUUGGGAUUUCUCUUACAUUUUCUGGCCUUCUGGUGCUGCAGAGAGCGUCUCCUAACGACCGAGCCAGGAAGGAGGAAUGACAAAAACUGCCAGAACUAUAAUGCAACCCAGAUCUGUGAAAAAACAUGGAAAAGAACUGUCAAAAACAUACAAUGUAAAGAACAUACCACAAUAUUUUGGUUUGAAACACUGACAUCAUCAGCAGUGUUUGCAUGAUGUUAUGAUUCUUCACAUUGCUCGGCUACAGAUCACAAAAGCUUUAUUUUGCUCACAUAUUGAAAGAUAUGUCUCUUUGUCCACAGCAACAGUGCAUGUUUAAGGUUUUGUGUGAACUGAAGCAAUAUGUCUCACAUAAAUGCUGCUUAGAUAUAUUCAAGCACAUCAAAGAUAUUGACCUUUUUGUAGCUUAUUACUGUAUCAUGCACGAUGUGUCCCAGAGAAUGUGACUGCUUUCCAAUAGGCCGUCUUCCUUCCACAUAGUGCAAUACCUUUGACCAGAGUCAUAUGGGUUCAGGUCAGAACAAGUGCACUCUCAGAAUAGUGUGCUACUUGGGAGAUUCUAUACUACAUAGUGGCAGUGGGAGGAACGUCUCCUCAGUUAUAUCGUGUAUAUUGCCUAAAAUCUUAAUUGAUCUUAACACAAAAUUCAGACAUGUUUUGGGUAUUCUUAAGAAGUUUGGCUUUACUACUGAUUAAAGUGAAGAAAAAGUCCUAAAGAGGCCAACUCGUAAUAUGUCAAACCAAAAUAUAACAAAUAUCUACGCUGCCUAUAUAGCAAAGCUUUGCUACCACUUGGCCAUUUAAUUGAGUGUCACUGGCUGUUCAUUUACCAGCUGCAGGCCUUUAUUCAUCAACAUUGUCUAUCUUAGUGUUGUGUUUUAUUUACAGCGUAUUCUCGGGUUAAGGGAGCAAUCCAGUAGCAGUCCUGCUUUGCUGAAUCUUCCAAGACUCCCAAGAGGUCCAGUGUGGCAAUGUGGUUUCAACAAUCCAACUACCCAAAAUUACUAGCAUGCCUGUCCUUCAAUAGUGUACUUCCCUGAUAUUCUAGAACACUGUGAUGUACGGUUGUGGGCUGGGGCGUUUGGUUUGAUAUUUACAACAAGUAUUACUGGAAUUUGAUUGGAGUUUGAUUUUACCACUUUAUGACACAAUCAGACUUUGCUGUUGUUUUUGAUACAUAUCAUCAUAUGCAUGCAACAACCAAUGGUAGCUACCAGUAUUCUGACUGUAGCUAUUAGAUGAUAUGUCUAUGAAUGCAAAAGAAACACUGAAAUCCACGCUCCUUCCUUUUGCAGUACAUUACAGACUGCAGGUUUUGUAUGUAGUUAAUUAAUUUACUUCCCUGGUAAUGUGACUACCUAUGCUAUUUCAUGUAGAAGGGAGACUUUGGUGCUGACAUUUCUCCUGUGUUCUCCAGUCAAUUUACACUGAGGAUAAACCAUUUACCUGUGAAGCCAGUGGUCACUGAGGGCAAGGAAACACAUUUGCCAUCAUUGUAACCAUGUACUGUUAUAUUGACAUAGCCGUGGAAAAUAGAGGUACUGGAACCCCCUGUGUCAGCCUCAGCACCCUGUGACAAGAUGUUUGAUCACUGCGUGUAGUCUGACGCACAUCACUCCUGAUGGACGCAAGUCAUCUGUCUGUUUGUCAGGCAUGACACACACCACCACUACCAAUGGGCAUGUUUGUCAGCCUGAUGCACGGCAAUACCACCAACACAUGAUCUGCUAUUGUCGGCACACCCUGAUCAAAACAUCUUGCCGUGGCCAUGGACAGGGAUGCCUUAUAGUGAAAUGUAGAAAUUUGUUUGGGAGGUGCAUAUGACUGAUGAGAGGUGUGUUCCAGGUUAGUGCAGCUCAGGGGGUCAACCAAAGGUAUGGUAAGGAAAGGCAAUAUGUAUUCCAGGGUUUCAAGUUAAUGGAGCUAAAACUAACAUUUAUUAUUUUAGUAGUCUUUAAGAGUUACUUGGACAAUCCUGUUUCCCUACCUGAUCUGAGUAAGUCGUUUAGCUAAUAAAACAAGGUGUUUGGGGAGAUCUGAAUCUAUAUAUCUGAGUUGUUAAUGGGGCAGAGGGUGGCACAAAAUUGUCUCAGCGCCACACUGUGAACAUCGGACGGAGCUAACGUGUCUCAUAACUCUAGCGACUCCUGGUGGUAGGUUGAGCACCUGUGACCUAAAUUGUGAUAGUUGGCAAGGGAAUGGGGUUUCCAGCGCACAGCACUGGUUUAAAAGUGUGAUUAAAAGCGAAACAGCUUGGCAAGGUGUGCUUUGGAGAUUUACAUCUUGAAAUGUAACUGUCCCGAACCUGCUGUGGAGUUGUUGACAAGGCAAGGUCAUAAUUACAAAUUGGAUAUAACAAAACUGAUAGGAUGGAUAAUAUCAAAUACAUUUGAAAAUAAUAUUUGUAAUUGUAAAUAUUUUAUAUUUACUGAAUUUAAUGGAUGUGUAAGCACUCAAAAGGUUGAAUAAUGAUUGA